rnacentral:tRNA from 1 species
UGGACAGUGGUGCAACUGGUUGAGCACAUAUGUUUCCAUGUGCAAGGACCUGGGUUCAAGUCCCAGCUAUCCUC